UUUAUUGAUUACUGCUUGAAAAAUGUAGUUUUGGCUUGUUAAGACUUCUUCCGGUGGGCUCGAUCACAUGACUCCGUUUCACCAAUAGGUGACGUUUGACUCCAUUUCACCAAUCAAAUUAAGCCUAGCGGUCACAUGACCACAACAAGGAACACCAUUUAACUUACAAACUACGGAAAAAAACCUUUUCUUUUUUUUUUUUUUAAUCAUGCGCUGUCGUUUUUGUCAGUUAAAAUAUUCACAUAUCGACUUACGAAAAUUCCACUUCCAACCAGACAAAACACGUUGCGUUACAGGGCUUUCACAAAGUUAUUGGCACUUGGAACACAGAAAGAAGAGGUGGACUGGCGCUACAAGGGGGUACACAGGCCAAGCCAGUACUGCACGGAUUGUGAAGAAGAAGAAGAAGAAGAGAUGGAAGGACGGCAGAACAAAGAAGCCAGUGGGAUGAGUGGAAGCAGCACAGGAGAAUAGUGUGGAGGUGAACAAGCAGGAAGCACAACAGUCUUCAAAGAUACUGGAGAGGACGGAAAAGCAGUCCUUAGAAGACACCUGCAAAAGUCCAUUCUCCAAGGAAUCCAGCAGUAUACAUGAGGAGGAACUGGUCCCCCACAGUCAUGCUCAGACGACCCGUGUAGCAGAAAGCCAAAAUCUGCUGGAAGCUCUGAGGCUGCACCGCCGGCGGGAGCUCCACCACUGCUGGGCUGCCCUCGUUGCCACUGCAGCCUCCGCUGUUGCUGAAAAGGUCCCGGAAGUAAGAACUGCUCGCAGCCAACACAGCACGAUGGGCCUUUAACAAAAAAAAAAGGGGGGGAGUCCGAUUAGACAUAUGAAAACACAAUAUUUGCAACUUCUACACAGUAACAACUCAAUAACGUCACCUUCUAGUGAGAAUAUUUGCAAAGAAUGGUCAAUAACUGAACUCAACUUUGCAAGUGAUAUAGUGUUCUUAUAAAAACUCAGCUGCGAUAGGCUCCAACUCUGAUGGACGGUGUUUUUUUGUUGUGUAGGUCUAGAAGCAAUGGAACCACAUAAUGGAUUCCACACCGCGGUAACAACUAGCUGGGGACGCAAUUAAAGUGAGACCCAACGAGUUUGCUGCCUGCACAGGCUCCAAGGAAAUUUAAAGUAAACAAAAACAAAGCAUAGAGAGCUCAUUCUAAACAAUGAAAAAUACAUAAUUCUAUAUAUCAGUUAGGGCUGCAGAUUUCAGGGUACCUUACGAUGCAACAUGGCUCGUGAUGAGUAUACGGCGAUGCUGCAAACAGCAAUAGUGCAAAAACAAUGACACUGUUUUAGUGCAAUCCAGCUGUUGUAACUAGAAGAUGGCAUCUCAUGUCUCUCGAGUAGCUCAAAUCUAUUAAGUAGAAACAUAACAAAACAAAAAUAAAUGUUUAGCAUUUGUAUGUCUUUGUCAGGGCCGUCUUAAACCAAUGGGGGGCCCCAGGGCUGAAGGAAUUUUUUGGGAGGGGGCCCCAAACCUCAACACCCCCACCCUGAAAACACAGUUUGAAAAACAGAAUAAUGAUUUACUCAACAGAACAGCAACAAUGUAAAAAUGCCAUCUAUUAUAACAUAAUAGUGUUCAUGAAUACAUGCUUUUAGCUCAGUCGUCAGCACGCUCGCUUCUCACUGGUGUGAGAGGCGAGUGUGCUGGGUUCGAGGCCGGCUCUGAGCAGUAGGAAAAAACAUUGCAUUCGAGAGAGAGAGUACACAAUCGCUACACGAAGCAGAGCUGUGCUAUUGCAUUCUACCGUCAAACUCGGGGGCCCCUAAUUGGGAGGUAAGCUCGUGCAUUAAGGAGGCCGUGGUCUUGGUCCUAAAUGAAUGCAGUCAAGAUUGACUGUGAUUACAAUAAAGUAAAUUCAAGCAACUCCGUUACACGUGUAGUGAUCAGUUAAGUGUUCAUGCUGCUUUCUGUUAUGACACAAGUGUACAUCACUGUCUUUACAAACACUGUAAUAUGAUUAUUCAUGUUUUUCAGUCACUACAAAUUGGUGUCAUAUUGCAGUGUUGUCCAUUACAAACGCAAACGUGUUUCAUGUUGUCGUAGAAGCUAGUUUAUCUCUUGCCGUAGGGCUAAUAUUGUAGAAUGGCGAUGUGUUACUGUGCUAGAAAAAGAGUUCCUCAGUGUUCGCUUUUACAAUAACAAUGUCUCUACAGUUUGGUUAUUAUACAGGUUACGAAACGUAAAUUAAGUAUUGUUGACAGUUUUUGAAUGCAUUUUUAAAAUGAUU